rnacentral:rRNA from 1 species
GCCUAAAUUUUAGCCCUAAUUUUUCUUAUUACACCCCCCACACCAAACCACCGCCACUAAAACAUUCUAACAAUCUAGUACAGGCGAUCGAAAAACUUCUAAGAGCUAUAAAUAGUACUGCAAAGGAACAAUGAAAUAGAAAUGAAAGAACAUUAAAGCCUCACACAGUAGAGACUCCCCCUCGUACCUUUUGCAU